rnacentral:rRNA from 1 species
GACGAACGCUGGCGGCGUGCUUAACACAUGCAAGUCGAACGGAAAGGCUCCAGCUUGCUGGAGUACUCGAGUGGCGAACGGGUGAGUAACACGUGGGUAAUCUGCCCUGCACUCUGGGAUAAGCCUGGGAAACUGGGUCUAAUACUGGAUAUGACCUUUCUCCUUAUGGGGUUUGGUGGAAAGUUUUUCGGUGUAGGAUGAGCCCGCGGCCUAUCAGCUUGUUGGUGGGGUGAUGGCCUACCAAGGCGACGACGGGUAGCCGGCCUGAGAGGGUGAUCGGCCACAUUGGGACUGAGAUACGGGCCAGACUCCUACGGGAGGCAGCAGUGGGGAAUAUUGCACAAUGGGCGGAAGCCUGAUGCAGCGACGCCGCGUGAGGGAUGACGGCCUUCGGGUUGUAAACCUCUUUCAGCAGGGACGAAGCGUAAGUGACGGUACCUGCAGAAGAAGCACCGGCUAACUAUGUG